AGGCGGACUGGUCGUCACCAGUGAGGCUCUUCCACCACCGUGGGUCGUCGUCUGCUCUAAUGUGAGCUUGACCUUGCCUUGUUGCCCCAAUUGGUUCUCUGGUGGACAUGGAGCAGCUCAAUCAGAUCAUUGGUGAGGACUUUGUUUCGGGACGAGCAUCUCGAUGUCGGAUUUCGGGACAAGAUCGACAGAU